UACGUAGGGUGCGAGCGUUGUCCGGAAUUAUUGGGCGUAAAGAGCUCGUAGGCGGUCUGUCGCGUCGGUCGUGAAAACUUGGGGGCUUAACCCUGAGCUUGCGGUCGAUACGGGCAUGACUGGAGUUCGGCAGGGGAGACUGGAAUUCCUGGUGUAGCGGUGAAAUGCGCAGAUAUCAGGAGGAACACCGAUGGCGAAGGCAGGUCUCUGGGCAUUAACUGACGCUGAGGAGCGAAAGUGUGGGGAGCGAACAGG
rnacentral:rRNA from 1 species